GGGAGAAGGUACGCUCUCGACGGUGAAGUCCCUCGCGGAUGGAGCUAUUGAGAGUCGCAGAUACCAGGUGGCUGCAACUGUUUAUUAAAAACACAGCACUGUGCAAAAUCGUAAGAUGACGUAUACGGUGUGACGCCUGCCCGGUGCCGGAAGGUUAAUUGAUGGGGUUAGACUUCGGUCGAAGCUCUUGAUCGAAGCCCCGGUAAACGGCGGCCGUAACUAU
rnacentral:rRNA from 1 species